rnacentral:lncRNA from 1 species
AUUAAAACAAGUAAUAAAUAACAUGGAAUCUAAGCUGUCACUGGUGUCUCCACUGUAACCUGGCCAGAGUAACUGACUUCAGAUUUCAUGUCUGUUUCCCAAAGCUCUGGUAAUGCCUGCUUUAUGUUGUGAAUGCUUUCUAAUGCAUAAUCUGCUCCUUUAGGUCUCUGAGAUGUGCCCACCUGCAGAUAUUAUUAUUCUUAUUCGUCUUCCUAUAUUCCAAGUGAUUGUUGUUUUUGUUAAUUAUUAAGAUAUUAAAUGUUUUAUACCAGCACAGUGUGAAGAUCAACGCAUUUUCCUGCUUGGAUGUUGCGGACACUAUCAUCGAAGAACAACUGAAACAGCAUAAACCCCAACAUCAGUAGAUUGUAAAACCAACCAACCAUUGAAGUUGAAAAGAACAUCAUCUUACAGUUCUCUGAGGGUUGAUUUUGGCAAUCUUGAGAGCAAGCUCUAUGGCAGAUUCUUGUGGCUUGCAGACAAUGGGUGUCUUGGGUAAUAAUGUGGCACUUGGUCCUGGCUUUAGCUCAGCAAAAUGGCCAAUUAUGUCAAAAAUUUCAGGGC